AGAAAUAAAACCAAUAAAGCACCCUGGCUGGGUACAGUCCCCGAGCACCAGAGGAACCAAACCUGCUGGCAGGGAUCCAGGUGGGAGAUCAAGCAUUGGGAAAUAAAUGUGCCCAGCUCUCCUGGAUCUCCAGAAACUGAGGCUGAGUUUAAUGUUCCCUGUCACAGUUUUGACUUUCCAGGCCCUGGAAAAGAAGGAUUAGGAACACUCAGCAGGCAAACUGGAGCCAUGGCUGGUCCAGCUGAGCAAUCCAGUGCACCCAAGAGGUGCUAAGCAAGUGCAGCCUCC